UGUUCUUCUAUUUUAGGUUGAUGAAUGUUAUGAACUCCGACAUGAUUUAACGUCUCAUGUGACCUCAAGGACUCUCUUCACGGAAUAGUAAGAUUUUGUUCCAAACCUAGUGAAGAUAUGAAUGUCCGUUGGUACAGACGACUUUUAUUGACAUUGAAUGUCCGUUGGUACAGACGACUUUUAUUGACAUUCUAUGAACUUCUGUUUUUUGAAGCACAGUUGGCAUGGGGAAAUAAAAAUUUCAGAGAGAUUGAGAAACGCGUCCUUGAUAAUAUUAUAGGACCAGGAAGGUACGAUAGCCGGAUUCGACCUCAUGGAGUCAACGAAA